rnacentral:rRNA from 1 species
UACGGAGGGUGCAAGCGUUAUCCGGAUUUACUGGGUUUAAAGGGUGCGCAGGCGGAUAUGUAAGUCAGUGGUGAAAUCUUCCCGCUUAACGGGAAAACUGCCGUUGAUACUAUAUAUCUUGAAUAUUGUGGAGGUUUGCGGAAUAUGUCAUGUAGCGGUGAAAUGCUUAGAUAUGACAUAGAACACCUAUUGCGAAGGCAGCAGGCUACACAUAUAUUGACGCUGAGGCACGAAAGCGUGGGGAUCAAACAGG